rnacentral:rRNA from 1 species
UACGUAGGGGGCUAGCGUUGUCCGGAUUUAUUGGGCGUAAAGAGCGUGUAGGCGGCCAGGUAGGUCUGCUGUGAAAACUCGAGGCUCAACCUCGAGACGUCGGCGGAAACCAUCUGGCUAGAGUCCGGAAGUGGAGAGUGGAAUUCCUGGUGUAGCGGUGAAAUGCGCAGAUAUCAGGAAGAACACCCGUGGCGAAGGCGGCUCUCUGGGACGGUACUGACGCUGAGACGCGAAAGCGUGGGGAGCGAACAGG